AGUGAACGCUGGCGGUAGGCCUAACACAUGCAAGUCGAACGGCAGCACAGUAAGAGCUUGCUCUUACGGGUGGCGAGUGGCGGACGGGUGAGGAAUACAUCGGAAUCUACUUUUUCGUGGGGGAUAACGUAGGGAAGCUUACGCUAAUACCGCAUACGACCUACGGGUGAAAGCAGGGGAUCUUCGGACCUUGCGCGAUUGAAUGAGCCGAUGUCGGAUUAGCUAGUUGGCGGGGUAAAGGCCCACCAAGGCGACGAUCCGUAGCUGGUCUGAGAGGAUGAUCAGCCACACUGGAAAUGAGACACGGUCCAGACUCCUACGGGAGGCAGCAGUGGGGAAUAUUGGACAAUGGGCGCAAGCCUGAUCCAGCCAUACCGCGUGGGUGAAGAAGGCCUUCGGGUUGUAAAGCCCUUUUGUUGGGAAAGAAAAGCAGCAGGUUAAUACCCCGCUGUUCUGACGGUACCCAAAGAAUAAGCACCGGCUAACUUCGUG
rnacentral:rRNA from 1 species